UCCUGUUUGCUCCCCACGCUUUCGCAUCUGAGUGUCAGUAUCUGUCCAGGGGGCCGCCUUCGCCACCGGUAUUCCUUCAGAUCUCUACGCAUUUCACCGCUACACCUGAAAUUCUACCCCCCUCUACAGUACUCUAGUCUGCCAGUUUCAAAUGCUAUUCCGAGGUUGAGCCCCGGGCUUUCACAUCUGACUUAACAAACCACCUGCAUGCGCUUUACGCCCAGUAAUUCCGAUUAACGCUCGCACCCUCCGUAUUACCGCGGCUGCUGGCACGGAGUUAGCCGGUGCUUCUUCUGUCGCUAACGUCAAAUGAUAGUGCUAUUAACACUACCACCUUCCUCACGACUGAAAGUGCUUUACAACCCGAAGGCCUUCUUCACACACGCGGCAUGGCUGCAUCAGGCUUGCGCCCAUUGUGCAAUAUUCCCCACUGCUGCCUCCCGUAGGAGUCUGGACCGUGUCUCAGUUCCAGUGUGGCUGAUCAUCCUCUCAGACCAGCUAGGGAUCGUCGCCUUGGUGAGCCAUUACCUCACCAACUAGCUAAUCCCACCUAGGCAUAUCCUGACGCGAGAGGCCCGAAGGUCCCCCUCUUUGACCCGUAGGUGUUAUGCGGUAUUAGCCAUCGUUUCCAAUGGUUAUCCCCCACAUCAGGGCAAUUUCCUAGGCAUUACUCACCCGUCCGCCGCUCGACGCCGUUAUCGUCCCCCGAAGGUUCAGAUAACUCGUUUCCGCUCGACUUGCAUGUGUUAGGCCUGCCGCCAGCGUUCAAUCUGAGCCAGGAUCAAACUCU
rnacentral:rRNA from 1 species